AUGCGUCGCAACCCAACACCGUGCAUGAAAUAUUCGCCGGUCUUUGGAGGGGCGGACAUUGGCUUNCCGUGCUUCGGUGCGGCUGGCCUAAAUGCGAGUCCCUUGCGACGGACACUACGACAAGUGGUGGUUGAUUUNCUCAACUAAGGUGUGUCGCGCGCUGACCCGUCGGACGAGGAGACUUCCCUGACCCUAACACGUGCGUCACGACGCAUGCCACGACCGC
rnacentral:rRNA from 1 species